ACUGCUCCGGGCUCUGGCAUGUUGGCACUCUGGCACAUUCCAAGGUAGACAUUGUGGUUUUUUCGGCAUUCCGGCCAAAAAACAUGCCUAACCCUGCAUUACAUUAUACAUUA